AGUAGGGCGGGACACGUGUUAUCCUGUCUGAAUAUGGGGGGACCAUCCUCCAAGGCUAAAUACUCCUGACUGACCGAUAGUGAACCAGUACCGUGAGGGAAAGGCGAAAAGAACCCCUGUGAGGGGAGUGAAAUAGAACCUGAAACCGUGUACGUACAAGCAGUAGGAGCACCUUCGUGGUGUGACUGCGUACCUUUUGUAUAAUGGGUCAGCGACUUAUAUUCAGUGGCAAGGUUAACCAUCUAGGGGAGCCGUAGGGAAACCGAGUCUUAACUGGGCGCCAUAGUCUCUGGAUAUAGACCCGAAACCGAGUGAUCUAGCCAUGGGCAGGUUGAAGGUUGAGUAACAUCAACUGGAGGACCGAACCGACUAAUGUUGAAAAAUUAGCGGAUGACUUGUGGCUAGGGGUGAAAGGCCAAUCAAACUCGGAGAUAGCUGGUUCUCCCCGAAAGCUAUUUAGGUAGCGCCUCGGACGAAUACUACUGGGGGUAGAGCACUGUUAAGGCUAGGGGGUCAUCCCGACUUACCAACCCUUUGCAAACUCCGAAUACCAGUAAGUACUAUCCGGGAGACACACGGCGGGUGCUAACGUCCGUCGUGGAGAGGGAAACAACCCAGACCGCCAGCUAAGGUCCCAAAUUACAGCUAAGUGGGAAACGAUGUGGGAAGGCUUAGACAGCUAGGAUGUUGGCUUAGAAGCAGCCAUCAUUUAAAGAAAGCGUAAUAGCUCACUAGUCGAGUCGGCCUGCGCGGAAGAUGUAACGGGGCUAAGUUGUAAACCGAAGCUGCGGCAAUGUUCUUUGAACAUUGGGUAGGGGAGCGUUCUGUAAGCCGUUGAAGGUGUGUUGUAAAGCAUGCUGGAGGUAUCAGAAGUGCGAAUGCUGACAUGAGUAACGACAAGGGGGGUGAAAAACCUCCCCGCCGGAAGACCAAGGGUUCCUGUCCAACGUUAAUCGGGGCAGGGUA
rnacentral:rRNA from 1 species